ensembl:lncRNA
UAUGGUAGUUCUAUUCUUAAUUUUUUGAGAAAUCUCCAUAGUAUUUUCCAUAGUGUCUACACCAGUUUACAUUCCCACCAGCAGUGUAUGAGGGUUCCGUUUUCUCCCCAUCCUCUCCAACACUUAUUUCCUGUCUCGUUAAUUAUAGCCAUUCUGAUAUGUGUGAGGUGGUAUCUCAUUGUAGUUUUGAUUUGCAUUUCCCUAAUAAUUAAUGAUGUUGAACAUCUUUUCAUGUGCCUGUUGGCCAUAUGUGUGUCUUCUUUGGAAAAAUGUUUGUUCAGAUCUUUUGCCCAUUUUCAAAUUGGUUGUUUCUUUGAUGUUGAGAUGUAUGAGUUCCUUAUAUAUUUUGGAUAUUAACCCCUUAUCAGAUAUAUGAUUUGCAAAAUAUCUUCUCCCAGUUUUUAGGUUGUCUUUUCAUUUUGUUGAUGAUUUCGUUUGCUGUGCAGAAGUUUUUUGGUCCCAUCUGUAGUCCCAUUUGUAAACGCACACAUCUGUGGACAGCUAAUCUUUGACAAGGGAGCCAAGAACAUACAAUGAAGAAAGGAAAGUCUCUUCAAUAAAUAGUGUUGGGAAAACUGGACAGCCACGUGCAAAAGAAUGAAAGUAGACUAUUAUCUUACACCAUGCACAAAAAUUAACUCAAAGUGGACUAAAGAAUGUAAGACGUGAAACCGUAAAACUUCUAGAAGAAAACAUAGGCAGUAUGUGCUCUUCGACAUCAGUUUUAGCAGCAUCUUUUUGAAUAGCAUGUCUUGCCAGACAAAGGAAACAAAAGAAAAAAUAGUUGAUGCUUCUUAGCUGUCGCAGCCCAAUCCUUUUGGUGUCUGUGGUCCUAGACUUCUGCUUGGCAACAGGAUCAGAGCCAUCCGCAGGGAGACAGCACCGAGUCACAGGCAUUGGAGAUGGAUGGAGAGAGGAAAGAGGCUGCGAAGCCAGAGAAAAGCUGAUUGGAAUCACACAGUAUGGAGCCUUUACAGAGUGGCUUCUUUCACUUAGCAAUGUGCAUUUAAGGUUCCUCCAUCUUUUCGUGGUUUGAUAGCUCAUUUCUUUUUAUUGCUGAGUAAGAUUCCAUUGUCUGGAUGUACUAUCUGUCUUUGUAUUGUUGAGUUACAGGAAUUCUUUACCCCGGAUACUAGUCCAUUGUUAAAUCUAUGUUUUGCAAAUAUUCUUCCCAACUUGUGGCUUGCCUUUCCAUUUUCUUUAUGGUAUCUUUUGAUAAGCAGAAGCUUUUAAUUUCGAUGAGGUCUAAUUUAUAACCUUUUCUUUUUUUGUUACUGCUUUUUGUGGCUCAAGAAACCUGUGCAUACCCCAAAUCAUGAAGACAUUCUCUUAUGUUUUCCACUGGAAGUUUUAUGGCGUUAGCUUUUACACUUGGGUCUAGGCUCCAUCUCACAUUGCUAUUUGUGUGUGGUAGCGGUCAAGUUUCUAAUUCUUUUUUUACAUAUGAAUAUCUAGUCAUUCCAGCACCAUUUGUUAAAAAGACUUUCCUUUCUCCAUUGAACUGCUUUGGGGUCUUCGUUGAAAAUGUAACGACUGUGUAAGUGUGGGUAUUUCUGAGCUCUCUUUUCUGUUAUGCUGAUUUGUCAAUCCUUGUUGCUAGUACCAUACUGUCUGGACUGAUGUAGCUUUCUAGUUAAUCUUCAAAUGAAGUACUAUAAGUCCUCCAACUUGCUUUUCUCAAGAUUACUUUGGGUAUUACAGGUACUUUGUAUUUCUCCAUAUAACUUUUAGAAUUAGUUUGUCAAUUUCUUUUAGAAAACUUGUUGGAAUUUAAAAAUUCUGGUAAAAUAUACAUAACUUAAAAAUGACCAUUUUAGCCAUUUUAAGUGUACAAUUCAGUGGCAUUAAGUACAAUCACAAUGUGUAACCAUCACCACUAGCUAUUUCCAGAACUUUUUCAUCUUCCCAAACAGAAAGUCUGUACCCAUUAAACAAUAACUCCCCAUUACCGACUCCCUUCAGCCCCUGAGAACCUGUAUUUUCUCUCUAUAGGUUUGUCUAUCCUGGACAUUCAUAUAAAUGCAAUCAUACAGUAUUGAGUCUUUCAUAUCUGGCUUAUUUUGCUUAGCAUGUUUUUAAGGUUCACCCAUGUUGUAGCAUAUAUCAGAAUUUCCUUUUUAUGGCUGGAUAAUAUUUGUGUGUAUGUAUAUUAUAUCAUAUUUUAUUUAUCUACUCACCUGUCGAAUACUUGGGUUACUUCCACCUUUUGGCCGCUGUGAAUAAUGCUGCUCCGAACAUGGGUGUACAGAUAUCAGUUUGAGUCCCUGCUUUCAGUUCUUUUGGGUAAAUACCUACGAGGAGAAUUGCUGGAUCAUACGGUAACUCAAUGUUUAACUUUUGGGGAACUGCCAAAGUGUCUUCCACAGCAGCACCACCAUUUUAUAUUCCCACCAGCAGUGCACGAGGGUUCCAGUUUCUCUGCAUUCUUGUUAACGCUUGUUAUUUUGUUUUGCUUUUUAACUAAAUUUUUUUUUAUUAAAGCCAUCCUAGGAGGUGUGAAGGGGUACCUCAUGUGGGUUUGAUUUGCAUUUUCCUAAUGACUAAUGAUGUUCAGUAUCUUUUCAUGUGCUUAUUGACCAUUUGUAUAUAUUCUUACAGAAUACAGAAAUAGAGAAUAUUGAAUAGAGAAAUGUCUACUCAAAUCCUUUGCCCAUUUUUAAAAUUGGGUUUGUUUUUGUUGUUAUCCACUGACAUUCUGAUGGGAUUGUACUGAAUCUGUAGAUCAAUGGGUAGAAUUAAAAUAUUAAUAAUAUUGAGUCUC